GACUUUUUAACUAUAUAAUUAAGUAUGUAUUUUGAAAAUAUAAAAAAGAAUUUUUCUAAAAGUCU
rnacentral:tRNA from 1 species